GACGAACGCUGGCGGCGUGCUUAACACAUGCAAGUCGAACGGAAAGGCCCUGCCUUUGUGGGGUGCUCGAGUGGCGAACGGGUGAGUAACACGUGAGUGACCUGCCCUUGACUUUGGGAUAACUUCAGGAAACUGGGGCUAAUACCGGAUAGGAGCUCCUGCUGCAUGGUGGGGGUUGGAAAGUUUCGGCGGUUGGGGAUGGACUCGCGGCUUAUCAGCUUGUUGGUGGGGUAGUGGCUUACCAAGGCUUUGACGGGUAGCCGGCCUGAGAGGGUGACCGGCCACAUUGGGCCUGAGAUACGGCCCAGACUCGUACGGGAGGCAGCAGUGGGGAAUAUUGCACAAUGGGCGGAAGCCUGUUGCAGCAACGCCGCGUGCGGGAUGACGGCCUUCGGGUUGUAAACCGCUUUCGCCUGUGCCGAAGCGUGAGUGACGGUAAUUGGUAAAGAAGCACCGGCUAACUACGUG
rnacentral:rRNA from 1 species